AGGCCAGUAGCUCAAUUUGGCAGAGCGUCGGUCUCCAAAACCGAAGGUUGGGGGUUUCGAUUCCCUCCUGGCCUG
rnacentral:tRNA from 1 species